rnacentral:lncRNA from 1 species
GCAUUGUCACAUAAAGCAUCUCAUGUAAUUCAACAGAUAUAGUUAGAGGUAAUGAGAUCUAUAAUAGGUGCAAAAACUGAAGCUCAGAGCCAUGAUGCAAUUGCUUUUUAAGAUAGCUAAGCAAGUGAGAAGCAAAAAUGAGACGCAAAUCUCGGUCUGGCAACUCUAAGUCUUGUGCUCUUUUUGCCCUAGGCCAAGUGAGAUGUAAGUGGCCACAGGUUUUUCAAAGUUCCUGCACUGGGUGGAUGCUGACAAGAGGGCACCAUGCCUCUGUACCUGAUUGUGGGUCCUGGUAGAGAGGUGCUGCUGUGGCACUGCCUGCUUCCAGCAGCAGGUGGCAGUAUGAGCAAGAGAAUCCUUACUAGUCCUUAGACAGAACACUCAUAUAUUAAACACAGAUUUCAAGGUGGGGUACACUUGUCCUGGGAUUUUGUCUUUAUUUUAAAUUUUGGUGUGUUUUUUUAAUAUCAUGGAUCAUUUUGCAUUAAUUUUGAUUUUUUUAAAACAUCGCGUCAAAUAUUAUUUAACAUGAUCACUGAGUUUUGUGGGCACUUCCUUAAAAUUUGUAUCUCAGUUGAGUGUCUCACUUACCUCACUAGUCCUGGUCCUGGCUCCAAAAUUUGAAUUUCCUAAGGCAUAUAUAAACAAUGAUAAAGUACUGUGUUAUAGAUCUUGAGCUUCUGCAGUACCCUUUAACAGAACUGAUGGUACAGCCCUCUUCACAAUCACCCAUUUCCCUCUUUACUAUGUGCUGCUCUGGGUGUAAAAAACUUUGAUGAAUCCCAAAGGGACAAUUUGAAAUACUGGUCUAAGUGUUGAUGAGGCAGAAGACUGGGUAAAAACUCCUUUUGCAAGAUGAGUGGUUUCCAGUUCUUCACCCUCAACAGCCUUUGAGAAGAGCCUAAUCAAGGUGUCAGCUCAUAGACCAUGCAAAAUAGAUUCUGAUGAUACAGUGCUUUUGAUUUAUAUCUUAGAAGUUCAAGUACUAAAUGACAUCACUCUUUUCAGUGCCACCAGCCUAUUUAUCUCAACACGUUUCUCAACAUUUACAACUCUGAAAGUGACAGAUGGGAGUAAUAUUGAUGCUGAGCCCUGCUUUGUUCCAGGAUACAUGAACCAAUGAAAGAAAAAUCCAUCCAUCCAGUUAAGAGAUUCCUGUUUAAUAGUAUGAGGGGGCAGUUCUGGAAGGGGCCUUCUCUGUCCCCUUGUUACCUUAUCACUGUGCUACAGCCACUGGCCCAGGCCCCAACUGAGGCUUGCUCUCUCCUUUCUGUCCCAACACCACUGCCACUUCUGUCCCUAAUCCUCCUGCCUUUGGCCAUUCCUACAGCCUUCUUCAGCCUCCUCAUCCCAGGGGGAGGGAGAGUUAAGGGGAAGAAGUACAGAUGGAGAAGCCCCAGUGAGAAAAACGGAGGCCUGGGACCGAUCAAGGUGACCCUUGGUGUGGGAUCCUGGAGAAGACCUUCAGGGCAUCUUAGCCCUGGUUUCUUCAUCUGUAAAAUGGGGUUUGGCCUAGAUGAUCUUGCAAGACUCCUGAGUCCAGGAUUCUGCCCAGCUACCCCUGGGAAUGUCUUUUGUAGAAUUCUCUCCAGAAAAGAAAGCUGUUUGGUGGUUGUUUCCUCUGUCCAAGCAAGGCUCAGCCCCUGAACUGGACACCUGCCUUUCUGCAGUGACCACAGGCCCUACUCUCUCUUUCUCUCUCCCUUGGACUGAGGUACAGAUUCAGAUGCUUGGUGGACGCAGCCACCUAGGAGUACCUCCCUUGAAUUGAGGUACAGAUUCAGAUGAUUGGUGGCUUGGCCCCUGAGCUGGACACCUCCCUUUCUGCAGUGACCAUAAGCCCUACUCUCUCUCUCUCUCCCUUGAAUCGAGGUACAGAUUCAGAUGCAUGGUGGACGCAGCCACCUAGGAUGCAGCCACCAUGUUUCAGAAAAACCUGGUAUCUCUCCCUCAAGUCUGCUUCUCUUCCUGCGUUCACCAUCUCCAUGGGAGGUCCCCACCUUCCCAGUCACUCAAGCCUCAGACUUGUGAGGCAUUACAGGUGCCUCAGUGUCUGUCAUGCUUGAGAUCCAGGUCAUCAGAACUCCUGAUGAUUUUUACCUCCUGAGGAAAUGUCACAUCUAUCCCUACCUCUCCGGCUCUGCUGCUGCUGCUGGGCCCAAGUCUUCUGCUUGCCCUUCAAGCAGAAGGUUCCCCACCACAUCCCCCUCUCAUCUCUCCCCUCUCCCUAAAUGUAGCCUUUGCUGCAUAACCACUAGCUGCACAGCUAAGAAGCCUGGUUCAAGCUGGCUCCCGGACUGUGAGCUUCCCUCCCACAAACAUACAUAUGUUUGCUUCAGCUGAAAACAAUAAUCCAUUCAUGUGGCCUGGAUGCCUUAAACCUCCAGGCACAUUCUUCUUUUGAUUUUGGCUUUUCUGAGAGACAGUGGAGAUAUUAAUGAAAACAAUGAAAAGCAGCAAUUUGUGCAUUCCUGAUGGGUAGUGAUCCAUAAGACCCUAACUAUGUCCUGACAACCUAGUAACUGCCUCAUUUAAUAUUCAUAAUAACCUGGGAGAGAGGUAUUAUUAAACCUAUUUUAUAGUUUAGGAGGGUAUAGCAUAGGGAGGAUAAUUUAUCUAAGAACAUCAUGGAUGAGCUGGAUUUUUAGCAGAGGUCUGUUAAGUUCCAAAGCCCAUGUACAAUUUAUAUACAUUCAGUCCUUCCUGAAUCUUUUUUUUUUUUUUUGCUUUUCAGGGCCACACCCACAGCAUAUGUAGGUUCCCAGGCUAAGGGUCCAAUCAGAGCUACAGCUGCCAGCCUACACAACAGCAAUGCCAGAUCCGACUCGCAUCUGUGACCUGCACCACAGCUCACAGCAAUGCCAGGUCCUUAACCCACCGGGCAAGGAUGAGGAUUGAACCCAGGAAUUGAACCUGCAUCCUCAUGGAUGCUAGUCAGAUGUGUUGUUUCUGCUGCACCACAACAGGAACUCCAGUCCUUUCUGAAUCUUUUUUUUUUUUUUUUUGGUCUUUUUGUUGUUGUUGUUGUUGCUAUUUCUUGGGCCGCUCCCACGGCAUAUGGAGGUUCCCAGGCUAGGGGUUGAAUCGGAGCUGUAGCCACAGCAACGCGGGAUCCGAGCCAUGUCUGCAACCUACACGACAGCUCACGGCAACGCCGGAUCGUUAACCCACUGAGCAAGGGCAGGGACCGAACCCGCAACCUCAUGGUUCCUAGUCGGAUUCGUUAACCACUGCGCCACGACGGGAACUCCCUUCCUGAAUCUUGAAGAAAGUUUUUAGAUAGUUCAUGAUGUGAUUGUGAAAGGUUUGUAAAAAAGAGUUGACAGAGAUGAGCACUGGUAUGUGUUUAUGACAGCUGGUAGGGAAUUUUGUAAAAACACAUUUUCCACCCAAAAUUUCCAGGGCUAUUUCUGAAGCCUAAUGUAAGAUUCUACUUCACCUGCUUUUCAUGGGUGACUCAUCAAUGAGCAUGGUUUAUGAGUCUCUCUUUCAAGCUAGAAGUCAUGGCACAACCUAAAAAACAACUAACCAUCUUCUCCACUAGAAUGCACUGCUGUUUCAUCCAAUGUGAGAACACAGUCAGGGGAGAAACAUCUCAAAGAUCAAUGCAGUCUUCAGAUGAAAAAAUCGGAGCACAAGGAAGUUAAGAGUGACCAGCCAAGGUCACAUAGCUUGCAAGAGAAUGAGCCCAAGAGUCUCACUUUCUUAGUAGAAAGAGCUUUGUGCAAACCAUUUCUCCAAACAGCCAACUAUUAAGUACUGAGUGCUUUUGAAGGCCAAGUUCUCUGCUAGGAGCUGGGCCAUGAGGCCUGGAUCCUACUUUUGAGGUGUCCACCUGCCUGGUGAGGGACUGGCAUUUUAAGGAGCUCGAAGACAAAGGGAUGGGGCUGGGUUUGCCCCUGAGAGAAGCUCUCCUGUUUUGCAUUGUUAGGAGAACAACUGUGCAGGAUUGGUAGGAAAAUGUUUUUCAGAUGAGGACAUGCAAGACAAAUAGUUAGGACAGAUACAAAGUGGGAAACUAGUGUUUCCUCCAAUUCAUCACCAAGUUUCACCAGAAAAACCUUAAAUUAGGUUGAAGUUAGUCAUUGAUAGUGAAAUAGGGCCUGGAAGAAACCUUGGAUUUGGAUUCCAGAUCUGCCACCUUCUAGUUCUGGGACCAUGGGGGAGUCACAAUCUCUGCCAUGGUUUCUUCAACUGGAAUGGGAGAACAGAGCAUCAGAGCCAAGCUUACACACCAAGAUGGAGAUCAAUUUCUCAGCCUCUUAUGUUCAGCAACCAUGGAGACCUUGUCUGUGGUUACUGCAGCCUCUUGAAAUCCCCUCUGAAUUAUUCUCUCCAAGACCAUGAAAGAAGGCAUUGGAAAAGGGCCUUGAAUCCCUAUAUGUUAGGUUUCAUUCAUCCACCCUGCCUCCACAGACCAAUUCAGCUUUCUGGGGUGAUGAGAGGAUGUGCCCUGGGAAGUGAGAGCAGAAGACCACCCCUUGGGGACCAUGGUGACCCAGUCUUAGGAUGACUCUCUGACUGUUUCCCCAUCUGUAGAGAAGGCAUGAUGCCCCUCACACCACUGUUGUGAAGACUAAAUAUAUGUAAAGCCUCUAGCCCACUACUUGGUACACAAUUUUAAAGACCAUUAGAAAGUGGUACUGUAUGAAAAAGCUUUGGAAAUAAGACUGCCUUACAUAAAAGAUAAUUAAAAGCCAUGACUUUUACCUAGGUAGGAAAAAGCCACAAUGAGCUCAAUUGUGACCUAUUAUUAUACUGAAAAGACAAUUCUCUUGGAAAGAUAGUCUGGCAAUGUAAUUGGAUCUGAACUAAUAUGGAUCAGGUCAAGUUGAAGGUUAGGUCAGUGGUUCUCAAACCCAAGGAAGACAUUAGAAGCACCUGAGAUACUUUAAAAAGCCCAAUGGCCAGUCUUCACUGUAGACUAAUUGAAUCAAUCAAAACUUCUGGGGAGGAGGACGAGGCACUGGGAGAGUUUAAAGCUUUCCACGUGAUUCCAACCUAUAGUGAUUGAGAGCCACUGGCUUAGAUAAAGCUACAUGCCUACUAGGUUAGGACUGGGGAAGAAAUCCAUCAGGUUCAUGGUAUCUCCCCUCAUGGUCUGCCUCAGUCUGAAUUUCCUACAUUCGAAGCAUUGACCAGUGGUACCAUGCACACUAACCAGGACUAACCUGGCUACAAUCUGUUUGGUUACUGUUUUACGAUGAUUUUGAAAGGAAGUAGAGGUUUGACUUGAAGGACUUGGUAUGAUAGGUUGAUUUCAGUAGGAAUGUUUAUCGGUGAGGAUUAGAUUUGGUUGCAUAAAAUGAAAAAUUCAAAAUAGCAGGCCCUUAAAUAAGGCCAAAGUCUGGAGGCAGGUAUUCUAAUGCUGGUAUGGCAUCUCUAUGGUCACAGGGGAUUCAAGGUUCCUUUUAUUUUCCCACCCUACCAUGCUAGUGUGGGCUUUCCAUCUUUGAGGUCACCUCGUGGUCCAUGAUGGCUGUUGGAGCUCCACCAUCAUUAUCCACAUUGUAGGAAUGAAGUAAAAGAAAAGGGAGAAUGGGCAGGAAAGGUCCAGUCAGCUUCCUUUAAAAAACUUUUUCUUAUAUUUUACAGGCCAGAACUUUGUCAAAUGUCUAUCUGCAAGAAAGGCUGAGAAGUACAACCGUUUAGGCAGGUACUUUUACACCUCAUAUAAAAUUAAACUUCUUUAAGGCAGAAGGGGCAAGUGGUAAGUGACCAGCAGUUUGUGCCAUAGAGCCAUCGCAGACCCAAAGCCUGAAAGUGGGAGGGAACUAAAGGCGAGUAGGCAGGAGAUUUAAGAAAUCUUGAAAGGGUAAUGAUGGUUCAUUCAUCUGGUUCCCAAAAACUUGCUGCCAUGGGCCUUUCAGUAGAAGUUUAUUUUCAAUUGUGCAGCUGGGUCAAGCCUUUAUUCCUUUCAACAAAUUCCUAAUUCCUAAGCAUGGGUGUCUCAGCCUUAGUUUUGCACCAGCUAUUGUAGGAGAAAAUGUCCCAACAAAAAUGUAGAAAGGAGAGACCCCAGCCAUGAUGACUAAGCAAAGUCCAGCCAACUGCCCCCCCCCCCCCACAUCUGCUUCUGUAAAUUUGUUUCCGCAUCUACUACCUUGCCUGACAUCACUCCGGUCCAACUAGCCAAGCAUGGACCCGGAAGACGUAGCCCAUAAAAGCCUUGUGAAACCCUUCUUCCGGGCUCAGACUCUGGAGAUUGAUCUCCUCUGAGCCCGCCGGCGUAAUAAACCUGAGUUCUC